rnacentral:rRNA from 1 species
GGGUCAGUAGGUUGGUCGUGCCACCGGUACGUACUGGUCUCACUGAUUCCUCCUUCCUGAAGAACCGUAAUGCCAUUAAUUUGGUGUUGCGGGGAAACAGGACUGUUACUUUGAAAAAAUUAGAGUGUUUAAAGCAAGCUAACGCUCGAAUACAUUAGCAUGGAAUAAUGAAAUAGGACGAUCGAUCCUAUUUUGCUGGUUUCUAGGAUUGACGUG